rnacentral:lncRNA from 1 species
AGGCAUAACUUGCACAACAUCAAAGUAAUAACAUGUCACAAAUAAACACUCAAUCGUUGAAUCAUGACAUCAAUUAAAUGCAUCAAAUUAACUAAGUUAAUCUAACCUACAUAAAGAUAAAAAAUCAAGAUAAGAUAUUACCCCCUUAAACCAACCCACCAUAUUGAAAAGACGAAAUCUCAGAAUUUGGAUCCUAGCUGAUCCCCCAUGCCACUACGAAACCAUAGCUUCUAACGGUGCGUCAUUUGGAGUUCAAACGAUUGUGUUAUGCACGUACUCCUUUGCAACAAACUUACACUCAUAGGGGAAGAACUGUCAUUCACGGGUCAGUUUGGUAAAUUCCAGCACCAGUCCUCCAACUCUGGCUAUUUCAGAUCAGUCCCUGAACAGUCAUAAUUUGCAGAUCAGUCACCUAUCUUUCAGAGAGUACAGCCCUGUCGCUUAACUUAUAGAAACUAUACUGAGGUCACUUAUCUUUUUCACGUUGCAGAAGGGUCAUUCUUUCUCGAUAGAUGCAGUUCUCGCCGGCGACGUCCAGCGUUCUUGGGGAACAGGUUUUUCGAUCGGCUUCCCUCGCGUUCUACCCACGGUGAAUCCCAAGUACUAUGUCGUUGCUAUCGGGUAGGUAUUGCCUCGAUCUCCAAUUCUGAUUUCCAUCCACGGCGCCGACGCCGAUCCCGUCUCUUAGUCAUCUCGAUUCUCCCUUCAUCUCCCGAUUGAUACAACUAGCGGCCUCUUCACCUGGAAGAUUGGAACCCACGUUCGGAAGCCAUCUCUCCCCGGUUGAUUAUCCUCCAUUUCCACUCUCAAUUCAGCGGCGCUGGCCCUGGAUUUCUC